UACAGAGGGGGCGAGCGUUGUUCGGAAUUACUGGGCGUAAAGGGCGCGUAGGCGGCCUGUUAAGUCGAACGUGAAAUCCCCGGGCUCAACCCGGGAACUGCGUCCGAUACUGGCAGGCUUGAAUCCGGGAGAGGGAUGCGGAAUUCCAGGUGUAGCGGUGAAAUGCGUAGAUAUCUGGAGGAAUACCGGUGGCGAAGGCGGCAUCCUGGACCGACAUUGACGCUGAUGAGCGAAAGCUAGGGGAGCAAACGGG
rnacentral:rRNA from 1 species